rnacentral:rRNA from 1 species
GGGGAAUAUUGCACAAUGGGCGCAAGCCUGAUGCAGCCAUGCCGCGUGUAUGAAGAAGGCCUUCGGGUUGUAAAGUACUUUCAGCGGGGAGGAAGGUGUUGAGGUUAAUAACCUCAGCAAUUGACGUUACCCGCAGAAGAAGCACCGGCUAACUCCGUGCCAGCAGCCGCGGUAAUACGGAGGGUGCAAGCGUUAAUCGGAAUUACUGGGCGUAAAGCGCACGCAGGCGGUCUGUCAAGUCGGAUGUGAAAUCCCCGGGCUCAACCUGGGAACUGCAUUCGAAACUGGCAGGCUGGAGUCUUGUAGAGGGGGGUAGAAUUCCAGGUGUAGCGGUGAAAUGCGUAGAGAUCUGGAGGAAUACCGGUGGCGAAGGCGGCCCCCUGGACAAAGACUGACGCUCAGGUGCGAAAGCGUGGGGAGCAAACA